rnacentral:rRNA from 1 species
UCGAACGAUGAACCACUUCGGUGGGGAUUAGUGGCGAACGGGUGAGUAACACGUGGGCAAUCUGCCCUGCACUCUGGGACAAGCCCUGGAAACGGGGUCUAAUACCGGAUACUGACCCGCUUGGGCAUCCAAGCGGUUCGAAAGCUCCGGCGGUGCAGGAUGAGCCCGCGGCCUAUCAGCUUGUUGGUGAGGUAAUGGCUCACCAAGGCGACGACGGGUAGCCGGCCUGAGAGGGCGACCGGCCACACUGGGACUGAGACACGGCCCAGACUCCUACGGGAGGCAGCAGUGGGGAAUAUUGCACAAUGGGCGAAAGCCUGAUGCAGCGACGCCGCGUGAGGGAUGACGGCCUUCGGGUUGUAAACCUCUUUCAGCAGGGAAGAAGCGAAAGUGACGGUACCUGCAGAAGAAGCGCCGGCUAACUACGUGCCAGCAGCCGGG